rnacentral:misc_RNA from 1 species
CGAAAUGCGAUAAGUAAUGUGAAUUGCAGAAUUCAGUGAAUCAUCGAAUCUUUGAACGCACAUUGCGCUCGCCAGUAUUCUGGCGAGCAUGCCUGUUCGAGCGUCAUUUCAACCAUCAAGCUCUGCUUGCGUUGGGGAUCCGCGGCUGCCCGCGGUCCCUCAAAAACAGUGGCGGGCUCGCUAGUCACACCGAGCGUAGUAACUCUACAUCGCUAUGGUCGUGCGGCGGGUUCUUGCCGUAAAACCCCCAAUUUCUAAGGUUGACCUCGGAUCAGGUAGGAAUACCCGCUGAACUUAAGC